GAUGAACGCCAGCUACAGGCUUAACACAUGCAAGUCGAGGGGCAGCAUGAACUUAGCUUGCUAAGUUUGAUGGCGACCGGCGCACGGGUGCGUAACGCGUAUCCAACCUUCCCGUUACUCAGGUAUAGCCUUGCGAAAGUAAGAUUAAUCCCUGAUGAUAUAUGUUUACUGCAUGGUGAAUAUAUUAAAGAUUUAUCGGUAACGGAUGGGGAUGCGUUCCAUUAGGUAGUUGGUGAGGUAACGGCUCACCAAGCCUGCGAUGGAUAGGGGUUCUGAGAGGAAGGUCCCCCACACUGGAACUGAGACACGGUCCAGACUCCUACGGGAGGCAGCAGUGAGGAAUAUUGGUCAAUGGUCGGAAGACUGAACCAGCCAAGUAGCGUGAGGGAUGACUGCCCUAUGGGUUGUAAACCUCUUUUAUAUGGGAAUAAAAAGACAAUUACGUGUAGUGUUUUGCAUGUACCGUUAUGAAUAAGCAUCGGCUAAUUCCGU
rnacentral:rRNA from 1 species